UUUCCCGCUCAGAGUGAACGCUGGCGGCAGGCCUAACACAUGCAAGUCGAACGGCAGCACAGAGGAGCUUGCUCCUUGGGUGGCGAGUGGCGGACGGGUGAGGAAUACGUCGGAAUCUGCCUAUUUGUGGGGGAUAACGUAGGGAAACUUACGCUAAUACCGCAUACGACCUACGGGUGAAAGCGGAGGACCUUCGGGCUUCGCGCAGAUAGAUGAGCCGACGUCGGAUUAGCUAGUUGGCGGGGUAAAGGCCCACCAAGGCGACGAUCCGUAGCUGGUCUGAGAGGAUGAUCAGCCACACUGGAACUGAGACACGGUCCAGACUCCUACGGGAGGCAGCAGUGGGGAAUAUUGGACAAUGGGCGCAAGCCUGAUCCAGCCAUGCCGCGUGUGUGAAGAAGGCCUUCGGGUUGUAAAGCACUUUUGUCCGGAAAGAAAAGCAUUGGGUUAAUACCCCGAUGUCAUGACGGUACCGGAAGAAUAAGCACCGGCUAACUUCGUGCCAGCAGCCGCGGUAAUACGAAGGGUGCAAGCGUUACUCGGAAUUACUGGGCGUAAAGCGUGCGUAGGUGGUUUGUUAAGUCUGAUGUGAAAGCCCUGGGCUCAACCUGGGAAUGGCAUUGGAAACUGGCUUACUAGAGUGCGGUAGAGGGUAGUGGAAUUCCCGGUGUAGCAGUGAAAUGCGUAGAUAUCGGGAGGAACAUCUGUGGCGAAGGCGACUACCUGGACCAGCACUACACUAGGCACAAUGUGC
rnacentral:rRNA from 1 species